rnacentral:rRNA from 1 species
GAUGAACGCUGGCGGCGUGCCUAAUACAUGCAAGUCGAGCGAACAGACGAGGAGCUUGCUCCUCUGACGUUAUCGGCGGACGGGUGAGUAACACGUGGUUAACCUACCUAUAAGACUGGGAUAACUUCGGGAAACCGGAGCUAAUACCGGAUAAUAUAUUGAACCGCAUUGUUCAAUAGUUAAAGACGGUUUUGCUGUCACUUAUAGAUGGAUCCGCGCCGCAUUAGCUAGUUGGUAAGGUAACGGCUUACCAAGGCGACGAUGCGUAACCGACCUGAAGGGGAGGUCGGCCACACGGGAACUGAGAAACGGUCCAGACUCCUACGGGGGGCAGCAGUAGGGAAUCUUCCGCGAUGGGCGAAAGCCUGACAGAGCAACGCCGCGUGAAUGAUGAAGGUCUUCGGAUCGUAGAGCUCUGUUGUUAGGAGAGAACAAAUGUGUAAGUAACUAUGCACGUCUUGACGGUACCUAAUCAGAAAGCCACGGCUAACUACGUG